ACUCAAAUGAAUUGACGGGGACUUGCACAAGCGGUGGAUCAUGCGGCUUAAUUCGAUGGCAAACGAAGAACCUCACCAAGGUUUGAAACCCAACUGCAAUCCUAUGGAAACACUGGACCUCGCAAGACAGUUGGGCAGGUGAUGCAUGGUCGUCGUCAGUUCGUGGCUUGAGUUGUUCCCUUCAGUGGGGUAACGAACGCAACCCUCGUUGCCUGUUUUCUAUGUCAGGCGAGACUGCCCCCUCACGGGGGAGGAAGGUGAGGAUGACGCCAGAUCAGCAUGUCCCUCUGAUAUCUUGGGCUGCACGCAUGAUACAAUGCACGAGACAACGGGUCGCGACGGGGUAACCCUGAGCCAAUCCUUUAAACUCGUGCCCAGUUCGGAUUGAGGUCUGCAACUCGACCUCAUGAAGCCGGAAUCGCUAGUAAUCGCAGGUCAGCUAUACUGCGGUGAAUACGUUCUCAAGUCUUGUACACACCGCCCGU
rnacentral:rRNA from 1 species